UAAGGAAUAUUGGUCAAUGGGCGCAAGCCUGAACCAGCCAUGCCGCGUGCAGGAUGAAGGCCCUCUGGGUUGUAAACUGCUUUUAUCUGGGAAGAAACACCCCGUUUCUACGGGGCUUGACGGUACCAGAGGAAUAAGCACCGGCUAACUCCGUGCCAGCAGCCGCGGUAAUACGGAGGGUGCAAGCGUUAUCCGGAUUUACUGGGUUUAAAGGGUGCGUAGGCGGGCCUUUAAGUCAGUGGUGAAAUCU
rnacentral:rRNA from 1 species